rnacentral:rRNA from 1 species
UACGGAGAAUGCGAGCGUUAUCCGGAUUUAUUGGAUUUAAAGAGUACGUAGGUGGUUUGUUAAGUUUGUGGUGAAAGCGUGCAGCUCAACCGUACCAAGCCAUGAAAACUGACGAACUUAAGUACAAACGAGAUAAACGAAAUGUGAUAUGUAGCGAUGAAAUACUUAGAUAUAUCACAGAACCCCGAUUGCGAAGGCAGCUUACCAGCAUGCAACUGACACUGAGGCACGAAAGCGUGGGUAUCAAACA